UCUAUACCCCUAUGCCAUCCGUCUCUCUCCCUCAUUUCAUCUUCCCAAAAAUCCCCAAAUUUCAAUCCAAAACCUAGCUUCUCGGUCGGCGCCUCCUCGGCGAGUUCACGGUUGUGCUGAGGGGUUUUGGCUUCCCGUCGUCGGUCUUCCCCUUCUCGGGUCCCGCCGCCAGCCGUCGUGUACUCACGUCAGUGGAGGUCCCGCCGUCGCCUCCAUGCUGUAGGGAACGGCUCCACGACGAAGACAUAUGCGGCGGCGUUUCCCUCCGUCGCCGGUGGCCUGCCGCGACGUCUCCCUCUCCCUUUCUCUCAGGGAAUCACCGUCGCCACUAUCCACGCCAUCCAGCGGCUUGGAGUUAGCAGAGCAGGCGUCGCUGCUGUUUCCGGGGUCUCGCCGCAGGACUCCCUCCGCCGGCGCCUUUCCGUCGUCACCGCCGCUGUCUCGACGUCAGCACCGCCAUCUCCGACAACCCCUAAAGCUAAGUCUCUUUUCAUUUAUUACUUAGCUUAUGUUAUGGGUUCCAUUCGGCAGAAGCUAAGUGAGCUUAGAGUUAAAUUCUUCUUUCAAGGUUACAUUCUUACUUGGUGAUAAAGUUUCAAAUCUUAAAAUGUUUGCUAUAUUCUUUUCGUGUGGAGUUCACUGGGGUGAGUUCGGUUCUGGUGGAAUUUCUGCUAUUGCCAAAGCUUUUAUCACCAUAUUUCCAAAUUCUGAGCUUAGAUGUGCUACCUGAAGUAGUAGUAGGGCGUACUACUGCUUUACUAACUUCAUGUUCAGGCUUAAGCUAUGAGAUGAUGGUGUUGAGGUGGAAAUGGUUUAACUUUCCCUCAUCUUGGGCAUGCUACGUACUGACUAGAGGCCUAUCAUGCUAUGCUUGAGUUCUCAUCUAUGAAUAUGUGUGAUAUGCUCUAUCACUUUGGGGAAAAGUUGAUUACCUAUUGCAGUUGCUUCGGUUUCUGCCUCUGACUCGGCUCUUCCUCCCUCUCUUUAGCUGGUUGUUGCUAUUGAUUGUGUUGUUAAGGGAGGAAGAGCUGAGGGGCUAUUUAUAAUGGCUGCCUAACUGAAAGCUGCAAAAAUGGCUGAUGUACUUGGCUGGAGAAGGUAGUCCUUGAUGGACUGGAUUAGCUGUUUCUUCUGCAGCAAGAUCGCAGGGUGUACUUGUGAGCUGGAUGAGUCUUUAGUUCCUGGCUAUAUUCUGAUGCCAUAACCGAUUUUGGUGCUUUGUGCUACCUUGUACCCUAGUUCAUUCAUGGGUUUUGUCUCCUUUUGGCUGGUGCACAACAAGGGGUGGCAUUGUGGGGAUGAUUCCCAGAUGGUGGUAGGUCUUAAUGGAGGGUACGAGCUGCAGGAAUUCAGCCUUGCAGAGUGUAGCGACUGAGAUGACAUGCUGUUGGCUGAACUUGCUCCUCUCGGCCCAGCUCUCACUCACUUUUCGGAAAGGAGCUGAGGCCGGCUACCGAGGCUGCCCUUUCCUCAUGGUCUCGCCCUCUCGGCUUGUCUGAAAUUCUGGGGCCGAGACGGCCCAGUGGUGGAGGUCGACGUAGUUGCUAGGAAAUUCAACAAUGUAAUAGUGUAGUUCGACUUAAAAUUUCUUUCCAACAUGUUCGCAAAACUCGAUACUAGUUGGUGUGUCUUUCUUUUCUAGCAUUUGAAAUUCAUUAGUCUUGAAAUUCUUUAUAUUGUAUUCAUUUUUAUUCAAGAAAUAAAAAUGCUCUUUCAUUCUUCAUCAAA